CUUUGGUGUGAACAAGGACAAGGUGCAGUGAUGACAGGGAGGACCAUUAUGUCAGAAUCCAGCAAUAGAAACAUCUUCUCAAGAUCAGUUCAACUCAGCUCUGAACUGGUGCCCUGACAAUUCCAAAUCAAAGGGCAUCCAGUGGAAGAUCACAGUUAUGGCAGUCUGGGGAGAAGGAAACAAAACUACCAUGCAAUGAGAUAUCUUGUGACAAAUAUCUUACUCUAACUGUUUCUCAGGUGAUGCCUUCAGGACUUGCUGUGCCCUGUGUUCCUCCCCACACGAUGGAAGCAUUUUGGUAUCACCUGAGCCAUACUUCACUGUGGAGCCCAGCAGAGGCCCACAGACACUUGGAAGAGGAUUAUGGGUCUUUUCCCACAAAUCUAGAGACAGUCAUCACCUACCUGGGCUUGUGACUACCUCUUCACAGGAUUCUGAACUGAAGGAGGUAUCACUGGCAUUCCUGACCACAGCAAGCCUCAGAAAAUAGCCAUCGAUGGCCUUGGCCUUGUACAGCUGACCCUGUUUGAACUGUGAUUACUUCUCCAGAAUUCACCCGGAUUUUAUUGGCAACCCGCAUGAAGAAUGAGCCCAGUCUGUCCUAAAGACUAAUAACUUAGCUGUGAAGAUUGGCUUCACGUGCCAUGUUAAUCGAGUCUCUCCUGAAGUUAAGAAUGAGCAGUAAUUUCCACAGGGAGUCAGAAAAUUAAUACAGCCCUGAAACACACACCAAAUUGCCUUUGCACUUAGUUGCCUUCCUACGUGCUAGA